rnacentral:rRNA from 1 species
UACGUAGGGGGCGAGCGUUGUCCGGAUUUAUUGGGCGUAAAGAGCUCGUAGGUGGUUUGGUAAGUCGGAUGUGAAAUCUCCAGGCUCAACCUGGAGGGGUCAUUCGAUACUGCCAUGACUAGAGUUCGGUAGGGGAGUGUGGAAUUCCUGGUGGAGCGGUGAAAUGCGCAGAUAUCAGGAGGAACACCCGUAGCGAAGGCGGCACUCUGGGCCGAUACUGACACUGAGGAGCGAAAGCGUGGGUAGCAAACAGG